GAUGAACGCUGGCGGCGUGCCUAAUACAUGCAAGUCGAGCGAACAGACGAGGAGCUUGCUCCUCUGACGUUAGCGGCGGACGGGUGAGUAACACGUGGAUAACCUACCUAUAAGACUGGGAUAACUUCGGGAAACCGGAGCUAAUACCGGAUAAUAUAUUGAACCGCAUGGUUCAAUAGUGAAAGACGGUUUUGCUGUCACUUAUAGAUGGAUCCGCGCCGCAUUAGCUAGUUGGUAAGGUAACGGCUUACCAAGGCAACGAUGCGUAGCCGACCUGAGAGGGUGAUCGGCCACACUGGAAAGGAGACACGGUCCAGACUCCUACGGGAGGCAGAAGUAGGGAAUCUUCCGAAAUGGGCGAAAGCCUGACGGAGCAACGCCGCGUGAGUGAUGAAGGUCUUCGGAUCGUAAAAAUCUGUUAUUAGGGAAGAACAAAUGUGUAAGUAACUAUGCACGUCUUGACGGUACCUAAUCAGAAAGCCACGGCUAACUACGUG
rnacentral:rRNA from 1 species